CCAAGGCUGAGAACUACUGGCCACUGGCCCUGCCCACUGCCCACAUUGUGACCUGCUUGGACCACACCCUUGUCUUAGAGUCACAAACCUACUGGCUGCUCUAUGUGUGCUAACACCAGGCUACCCAUCCUUCCGGCAGUUUCCAUGGAGCCCCCACCCGUUACCCCCUCCACCAGUGCCUAUCCUUUCCAUGGCUUCCAUGGCCUUUUUUUCCUGUACCCUUCACCCCCAUGUUUCCAAAGAUUUUAUCCCAAGCCACACCGCUGCCAGAGUUGUUGGCAGGCCCUGUGUUAAUUAAGCCCUGACUGUUUUCAUCUUGUUCAAUCCUGCCAAAGACCUUCUGAGGAUAGCAAGCAGGACCUACUUCCUGGAGCAAGAUAGAAGCCACGGUCUCUCUGCUGGCGGAUGUGAUUUUGAAAGUGCAAAAGGGCAGGAGGAGCAUCUGGGUCCCUGCCUUCAGGGGAGGGCCUCCUUCUAGAGCCCUGUCUGGGAUGCUGGGAAGCUGCAGACGGCAAAUCCAGGGUCAAGGACUUGUGAGGAUCCAGCUCCCCAGGAAGUCAGCCCUGUCCUUCCACAAGCCCUCACCUCCUCUCUGCAUCCCUAAUUGGCGUCUUCUGGUGACUUCAUUUUUCACUCUUGGCUAAAA